rnacentral:rRNA from 1 species
AGGGCACCACCAGGAGUGGAGCCUGCGGCUUAAUUUGACUCAACACGGGAAAACUCACCCGGCCCGGACACCGUAAGGAUUGACAGAUUGAGAGCUCUUUCUUGAUUCGGUGGUUGGUGGUGCAUGGCCGUUCUUAGUUGGUGGAGCGAUUUGUCUGGUUUAUUCCGAUAACGAACGAGACUCUGGCCUACUAAAUAGAUCGUCGGCUUACAAACGCUGAUGAGACUUCUUAGAGGGACAGGCGGCGAUUCAGCCGCACGAAACAGAGCAAUAACAGGUCUGUGAUGCCCUUAGAUGUCCGGGGCCGCACGCGCGCUACACUGAAGUGAUCAGCGUGCAUUUUCAGCCUACUCUGCCAAGAGUGGGAAACCCAAUGAACCUUCUUCGUGAUUGGGAUAGGAGAUUGUGAUUAUUCUCCUUGAACGAGGAAUUCCCAGUAAGCGCGAGUCAUAAGCUCGCGUUGAUUACGUCCCUGCCCUUUGUACACACCGCCCGUCGCUACUACCGAUUGAAUGUUUU